GUUAGGCUUUACUGUCGAAUGUUCCUGAAGACACGUUUUUUCACGGAGCCCAAGGAAAACACUUUACUGAACUCAUGUAAGUAACAAUUUAUAUUGUUAAAAGUCAGAUUUUGCCAGAAUUGAAAUGUAUAAAUUUGCAAUUUGCAAAAGCAUGGCUUAAUGUUAUAUUUUGUGUACUACUUUUGCCCGUCGUCGACCGCCAUUUCAAAUGUGCUCUUACCUACAACAGCUCAUUAACUUCAACCAAACACCGUUUAUACCUGUGCAGUUUUUAAUUAGCGUUUUCUUUGCGUGGUAAUUUAAUAUGUUAAAGAUAUAGUGACUUGUACAAAAAACUAUCAGCGCUUCGACGUCGUAUUUGGCAGUGUAGGCUGCCACACACACACUGUACAAUUAGCGCGAUAUCAGCGCAUUUACUGUUAGCGGUCAAGCGCGCUGUGUGUGUGUGUGUGUGUGUGUGUGUGUGUGUGUGUGUGUGUGUGUGUGUGUGUGUGUGUGUGUGUGUGUGUGUGUGUGUGUGUGUGUGUGUGUGUGUGUGUGUGUGUGUGUGUGGUGUGACCGCACGCACGCUACAGAGACGGCAGUUGGAGGGGCUGACUGGCAGAGAUGAGAAAUGGUGAAACCUGUUUAUUUUUAUUUUUUUCUUUCUGUGAGAGACUGUUGCGGGCCUAAUGGGAAACACUGAGGUUGCUGUAUGGUAUUUUUGUAGGCCAACCCGGAAGUUAUCAUCACUCUGGCUCCUUUUGACAGGAAGUCAUUUGGGUGUUUACAUCAUGUUUUGAAUUUAAGGAAAGAUGGCCUGCCCUCUUCGAACCAUUCCAGAUUAAUGAAGAGUUCCGAAGGUGCACUGCUGUUCCACUGGAAUCAACAUUUAUGUCCCAGCUGGACAGGUACACUCCAAAGCUCCUGGAGCUCUUCAGUGCAAAAGGAGGAGUGACUGGUCAGCGCAUCAAGAACUUGUUGAUGGAACAGAUACAGGACCCAAGUGAUGAAGAGAGAUGUGACUCUGAGAUGCCUCACAGAGUACAUGGGAGAGAGUGGACAGGAGCUAAUCUCUGACUACUGUGGAACUGCAGAGACCACUGUUCAUGAGGACCUGAAAAUGAAGAAUAUGCGCAUCUACAUCUGUCGUGAGCCAAAUGCAGUAGGAAUCAUCAUUGAGGGAGUACCAGUUCUUACUCAUCUUGGAAACCUGGCCAAAGCAUGCUGCCUACUCCUGGGGUUGACAUAUGCACUUAAUCUUGAGUAUCCGUCCAAACUUUCCAAAACAUUUGAGGUGUUUCAAAGACUUUUUGUGGGACUGGACACACUGCGCCCAAAACCAACCCCCAAAUUCAUGACUCUCAAAAACAAGCUUCUAGCUUAGGCAGUCAGCCAUGAAUGUCAGCUUGCACUUAUGAACAGCUAUUUUCUUGUCUGUUCAAAAUCAUUAUACAUUGUACACUGAGUGGAACUCUUCAGAAUGUUGUAACCGUUUGUCCUGUUCAGGUUUUAUACAAAGCUGCAAGUCAUCGUUUCUGGUGUGUAAAUUGUUAAGUUUUUUAUGUUUUAUACACACUAAACUGUGAAGCUGCAACUGGUCAAAAGGUGGGAUCUGUGAGUUGUUUAUAUGAUGUACACAGUAAAAAUGUACUCUGAAUAAUCAUUGCCACUGUUUGGAUAUGGCUUGUGAAGUUUUUAUAUUAUGUACAUGGUAAACAAACAACAACAAAAAAACUGCUGUGAAGGCGUUCAAAUGUUUAAUUAAUAAUAUGUACACAGUAUUUAAAAAAUAAUAAUCUGCAGGUCUUUUUUUAUGUUUUAUACACACAAAUUGCCCCACUGUGAAGCUCCAGCUGGUCACAAGGAGGGAUCUGUGAGUUGUUUAAGUUAAAAUGUUUUAAAAUAUACACACUGAAAGACACUACUGUGAAGGGGUUCUGCUUGUGAAUUGUUACAGAAGUACAGAUAAUCUUAAUGUUAAAUUGUUUUAGUAAGAAACUUUACUGUGAAUGUUCAAAGUAAAACUUGAAAUGCUGAGGUCAUGCAUUCUUUUAUGCACUAAAUACUGAUGUUCUUGACUGUUAAUACUGUCCAGCUUAUUGACACGGUUUGGAUAUGGCUUGUGAAAAUGUUUUAAUAUAUACGGUAAAAAAAAAACUUCUGUGAAGGUGUUCUAUACAGCACUUUAAAAAGUUGAGGUCAUGCAUUCUAUGCACUAAAUAUGUAUGUUGACUGUUCAUACUGUCCAGCUCAUUGCCACUGUUUUGAUAUGGUAA